AUUGAACGCUGGCGGCAUGCCUUACACAUGCAAGUCGAACGGUAACGGGCCUUCGGGUGCCGACGAGUGGCGAACGGGUGAGUAAUACAUCGGAACGUGCCCGAUCGUGGGGGAUAACGAGGCGAAAGCUUUGCUAAUACCGCAUACGAUCUACGGAUGAAAGCAGGGGACCGCAAGGCCUUGCGCGGACGGAGCGGCCGAUGGCAGAUUAGGUAGUUGGUGGGAUAAAAGCUUACCAAGCCGACGAUCUGUAGCUGGUCUGAGAGGAUGAUCAGCCACACUGGGACUGAGACACGGCCCAGACUCCUACGGGAGGCAGCAGUGGGGAAUUUUGGACAAUGGGCGCAAGCCUGAUCCAGCCGUGCCGCGUGCAGGAUGAAGGCCUUCGGGUUGUAAACUGCUUUUGUACGGAACGAAAAGCCUUCUUUUAAUACAGGAGGGUCAUGACGGUACCGUAAGAAUAAGCACCGGCUAACUACGUG
rnacentral:rRNA from 1 species